rnacentral:lncRNA from 1 species
UAACAUUGAUCAGAUUCUGGAGGAUCAUAGCUGGGUCUGUUGUUUAUAAACGUCGAGGACUCUUAGUAGAUUAGGCUCUGGAGGACCUUACAAUGUACCUAAGAUGGCAGAGGGAAGGAGGUGAGGAGGCUGCGCAGUAGUCACAGGCCUUAGAGAUGACGACGAUGACGUCGAGGCGAUGCUGGAGAGCUUGGAGCUGUACCAGGACGCUUCCUCCAAAGACGACGAUGACAUCAAGGCAAAGCCAGAGAGCUCGGAGCCGUACGAGGGGCCUGCACACGCAUGACAAGAGAUGGGAGAGUGACCCUUUUUAUUCCUUGCUCAUCCUACGUGUGGGAUUAAAAACAGAGAAGAAACAAACCUUGCGAGGAGAUCGUGGACAAAUGAUCAUUAUCCGAUCACGGUGGGUCUAGAGUCAUUUUAGCUUUGUCCAGUCAUACUUCUCUAGCUUUAACAAAUUUAUACAAAAAUAUGUUAGCAUCUAAAAUAUCAAAUAAAUACACUAUCAUUCCAUGGUGUAUCUAAUGGUUUAAUGUUGUCGAUUCUGCAUUUUUUAAUAAACUUGGUCAACGUAGAGUAGUCUAAAUUAGGACAAGGCUAACAUAACUUGCAUAAUUGCAGUUGGAAUAGUAAUCAAAACCUUCAUGUCCACAACUUGCAUGUAAUCAAGCACCACCAGUAUCAUCUUCUAGAAGGAAGAAUCUUAGUUGAAGAAGCAAGGAACUGUUGCCUCCAACUCGUCAGCUUCAAAGUCAGUCGAUGGUGAGUGGCCUGGGAAAUGGCUAAACUUCGAGAGAGGAAAAAUUAUGCGAACUACUGCC